rnacentral:rRNA from 1 species
UACUAGAGUAGCACUCGCAUAUCAAUAAGCGGAGGAAAAGAAACUAACAAGGAUUCCCCUAGUAACGGCGAGUGAAGCGGGAAGAGCUCAAAUUUGAAAUCUUAAAGGGUUUCCCUUUACGAAUUGUAGUUUAAAGAAGUGUUUUCUGUUGAGGUUUUGGUAAAAGUUCUUUGGAAUAGGACAUCAUAGAGGGUGAGAAUCCCGUAUUUGACCUUUACUUUCAACUUUGUGAUACACUUUCAAAGAGUCGGAUUGUUUGGGAAUGCAGUCCAAAAUGGGUGGUAAAUUUCAUCUAAAGCUAAAUAUUGGCGAGAGACCGAUAGCGAACAAGUACCGUGAGGGAAAGAUGAAAAGAACUUUGAAAAGAGAGUUAAACAGUACGUGAAAUUGUCAAAAGGGAAGCGUUUGACACCAGUAGUUGUUUUUCUGAAAAUCAAUUAAAGAACUGUUUAUGCUAAGCUGUUUAGACUUUAUCAGCUAUCUGUUUAGUUUUGAGCUUUUCUUUAAUGCACUUUUCAGUUAACAAGUCAACAUCAAUUUCUUUUGCUGUAAAAAAGCUUGAGGAAGGUGGCUUGAGAUUCGUCUUAAGUGUUUAUAGCCUCUUGCCUAUGCAGUCGGAGAGAUUGAGGUCUGCAGCGUAGAUCCUUCGGGGCUAAAUGCAUUUGUGCUAAGUUAUAGCAUUUUAUAGACAACUUGUUGACUAUGAUUUGUCUUGUAGCUUACUCGCUUAUGUUAUUUUACCUACGCUUAGGAUGUUGAGUCAUCACACAUCUCU